rnacentral:rRNA from 1 species
CGUAACAAGACGUGGGAGGCGCUUAAAGGCUGUCGCCGACUCGAAAGGGUCGUGCACGCCGGGAGGGUGUCCUCUUGUGUCAUCGCGUGGGCUUCCUCCUCGAGGGGGCUCGCGUUUUUCACACAAACCCCCUUUGUAAAUGUCUGUAGAAUGUCCUCAUUUUGUUUGCGUUGACACGCGAUCAAUACAACUUUCAACAACGGAUCUCUUGGCUCUCGCAUCGAUGAAGAACGCAGCGAAAUGCGAUACGUAAUGUGAAUUGCAGAAUUCAGUGAAUCAUCGAAUCUUUGAACGCACCUUGCGCCCCUUGGUAUUCCGAGGGGCACACCCGUUUGAGUGUCGUGAAAAUCUCAACCUCCUUGGUUUCUUUUGGAUGCCAAAGGAGGCUUGGACUUUGGAGGGCUUUGCUGGACUUAAAAGGCCAGCUCCUCUCAAAUGAAUUAGCGAGGUUCCCUUUGCCGAUCCUCGACGUGUGAUAAGAUGCUUCCACGUCUCGGUCUUUGGCUCUGUCGCCUCUUGGGACCUGCUUCCAAUCGUCUCUCGACGAGACAAUGUUCGAGCUUGCCUCGACCACGUA